GACGAACGCUGGCGGCGUGCCUAAUACAUGCAAGUAGAACGCACAGUUUAUACCGUAGCUUGCUACACCAUAGACUGUGAGUUGCGAACGGGUGAGUAACGCGUAGGUAACCUGCCUGGUAGCGGGGGAUAACUAUUGGAAACGAUAGCUAAUACCGCAUAAUAUUGAUUAUUGCAUGAUAAUUGAUUGAAAGAUGCUAUUGCAUCACUACCAGAUGGACCUGCGUUGUAUUAGCUAGUAGGUGAGGUAACGGCUCACCUAGGCGACGAUACAUAGCCGACCUGAGAGGGUGAUCGGCCACACUGGGACUGAGACACGGCCCAGACUCCUACGGGAGGCAGCAGUAGGGAAUCUUCGGCAAUGGACGAAAGUCUGACCGAGCAACGCCGCGUGAGUGAAGAAGGUUUUCGGAUCGUAAAGCUCUGUUGUAAGAGAAGAACGGGGGUGAGAGUGGAAAGUUCACACUGUGACGGUAUCUUACCAGAAAGAGACGGCUAACUACGUG
rnacentral:rRNA from 1 species